UGGGAAUUUUCUGAUAACAUGAACAUUGAAUACAAUGGGAUGCCCAUCCUCUGUUGAUGGAACACCAGCAGGCAGUUCAGUAUGUCAAGAGUCUGUGAGAGGGUUUUGUUCAUGCAGGAACAGUCAUGUCUGCGUUUCUUACAGAACAGUGUGAACAUGGAGAAUACUGCUGGUCCAGGAGAACGAAGUGUAGCCCCGGAGAGAGCCUGCUUCAUGCCUACAUCGUGUUACCUGUGGAUGUGUCACUGGUUAACGAGGAAACCCUUGGAUUGAAAGCUACUCUCCCCCACCAUAACAACAUACUAACUCCUCACGACGGUCCCACGCCACUUUCCAAACUCUGUGGUCUCCGCUUUGACAUCACAGACCAGUUCACCGUGACAAAGAGAUUGCCAAUGUUCUGUGUGCAGGUUGUCCCACAGCAGAGCACCUUGGAAAACGGAAUUCCUAUUAGAUGCCCACCUUUCUUGGUGACGAUGUGGCAGAGGCUGAAUAAGUAACCUACAAAGCAAUGGAGGGGGAUGAAAAGGACUUGUUUA
ensembl:lncRNA